GGAGGGAUGGCCGAGUGGUCUAUGGCGGCGGUCUUGAAAACCGUUGGGCGAAAGUCUCGCGGGUUCGAAUCCUGCUCCCUCCGCCA
rnacentral:tRNA from 1 species